UGAAUUAUAAACAGAAAUAUAUUGUAUUGAAAUGUGAGAAUAAUGAAUUGCUAAAGUAUCUGAGUCAAAGAUUCAAUUAGUGCCAGUAGUAUGUGAAUUUCCUCAUGUAUUCCCAGAAGAACUACCUGGUUUACCACCUGAUUGAGAAGUGGAAUUCUCUAUAGAUCUUGUUCCAGGAACGACACCGAUAUCCAUAGUACUUUAUAGAAUGGCUCCUACUGAAUUGAAAAAGCUAAAAGUACAGUUGCAAGAAUUAAUUAAUAGAGGUUUUGCUCAACCUAGUUUCUCACCUUGGGGUGCGCCAGUUUUGUU
rnacentral:lncRNA from 1 species